rnacentral:rRNA from 1 species
CCUACGUGAGGCAGCAGUAGGGAAUAUUGCACAAUGGAGGAAACCCUGAUGCAGCGACGCCGCGUGCGUGAAGAAGUUUCUCGGUUUGUAAAGCUCUAUCAUCAGGGAAGAUAAUGACGGUACCUGACUAAGAAGCACCGGCUAACUACGUGCCAGCAGCCGCGGUAAUACGUAGGGGGCAAGCGUUACUCGGACUUACUGGGCGUAAAGGGCGCGUAGGCGGGAUAGCAAGUCUGAAGUGAAAUCCAGGGGCUUAACCCCGGAACUGCCUGUGAAACUGUUCGGCUGGAGUGAAGGAGGGGUAAGCGGAAUUCUUGGUGUAGCGGUGAAAUGCGUAGAGAUUAGGAGGAAUACUGGUGGCGAAGGCGACCUACUGGACCGUAACUGACGCUGAUGCGCGAAAGCGUGGGGAGCAAACAGGAUUAGAUACCCCUGUAGUC